AUUGAACGCUGGCGGCAUGCCUUACACAUGCAAGUCGAACGGUAACAGGUCUUCGGAUGCUGACGAGUGGCGAACGGGUGAGUAAUACAUCGGAACGUGCCCGAUCGUGGGGGAUAACGCAGCGAAAGCUGUGCUAAUACCGCAUACGAUCUACGGAUGAAAGCAGGGGAUUCGCAAGGACCUUGCGCUCAUGGAGCGGCCGAUGGCAGAUUAGGUAGUUGGUGGGAUAAAAGCUUACCAAGCCGACGAUCUGUAGCUGGUCUGAGAGGACGACCAGCCACACUGGGACUGAGACACGGCCCAGACUCCUACGGGAGGCAGCAGUGGGGAAUUUUGGACAAUGGGGGAAACCCUGAUCCAGCCAUGCCGCGUGCAGGAUGAAGGCCUUCGGUUGUAACUGCUUUGUACGGUAACGAAAGGUACUUUACUUAAUAAAGAAGGACCCACUGACGGUACCGGUAACGAAUAAGCACCGGCCUAACUACGUACGCCGACGCGAGCCGAC
rnacentral:rRNA from 1 species